rnacentral:tRNA from 1 species
GGGGUUGCGGCUCAGCGGUAGAGCGCUCGCCUAGCACGUGCGACGCACUGGGUUUGAUCCUCAGCACCACA